GUUUGGCCAGGCCUGGCCUUGCUAGGCUUCUGCCUUCUCCUGAGGUCGGGCUUUGCGAUGGCAGGUUUUCCUCCUUGCAAUGUUUCCUUCCUCGCAAUCUUUCCUCCUUGGGAGGUUUUGCCUCUUGCAAGCUUUUCCUUCUUCGCAAAGUUUCCUUCCUUGCAACGUUUUUAAUCCUUACAACAUUUUUCCUACUUACAACAUUUUUCCUCCUUACAACUUUUUUCCUUCUUGCAACAUUUUUCCUCCUUGCAAAGUUUCCAUCCUUGCACAGUUUAUUCUCCUCACAAGAUUUCCCUCCUUGCAAAGUUUCCUAAUUGCAAGGUUUUCCUUCUUCAAGGUUUUUCCUCCAUGCAAGGAUUUUCUUCCUUGCAAAGUUUUCCUUCUCUCAGGACUUUUCCUCCUUGCAAGGUUUUCCUUCCUUGGAAGAUUUUCCUUCCUUGCAAGUUUUUCUUCCUUCAGGGUUUUCCUCCUUGCAAAGUUUCCCUCCUUGCAAGGUUUUUCCUCCUUCAAGGUUUUUCCUUCCUUGUAAGCUUUUCCUCCUUCAGGAUUUUCCUCCUCGCAAUAUUUUUCCUCCAUGCAAAGCUUUUUCCUCAGCUUUCUCACAACUUUUCCCUCCUUUUGCUUUCCCUCUCACUGCUGAGAUUUAGGAGCAAACAUUGUGGGGGGGGACACCCCCAAAAGCCACCAUCCCUCCUCGAGGACCCUUCCCUCUCCUUUGUUCCUCCACACCACCGUGUUUCGCAGCAAGGCUCAUUUUUAAUUUUCUUUUUUUUUUCUCUAUUUAAUUCUCCUGCCCCAUAAUCCCAUCGCCUUGUCACGCUUCCCCGGGAAGCGAAGCCGCUCCGAACAAAGCCCCCAGCGCAUCCCGCGCUCCCCGAGGGGGUUUGUGCAGCUGCGCCCGGGAGCGUGACCGAUCGGGAAUGAGCCUUCGGAUGCCGCUGGGACAGGGAGCUUUUCAUCCGCCCGUGGGAGCCGGCACCAGUUUGGGGUAUCUCAUCCUGGUCCCCAUCACCCCAGAAGGUUCCUCGCCAUGGUCCCAGUCACCUCAUGAUCAGCAGCCUCGGCCGAACCUUAUCGCAUCUGGUGAGCAGCGGGCCCCCGGCGCUCCCCCUGGCCGCCCUCCAAGCGCUGAACACGAAGCCACCAGCCGAGCUGCCGCAGCGCCUCACAGGGCCCAACAAACCCACGGGCCCUGGGGAAGGGGAAACUGAGGCACGGAAGGACUGAAGAGCUGCUGCGGGUUGCAUCUCCCUGGCCAACAAGCGCUGGAAAAUCCAUGACAGCUUCACUGGGCCCGUGACAAGGCACCGAAACAGCUUCUCAGCCCUCAAAGCAAAGCAUGAAAUAUAAAUUCCUGGGGGGAGUGAACCAGAAAACCCGUAUUCAGCUUAAUUAUCCCCCCCGGCCGCAAUCUGUGAUCUCCGGGACAAUUAAAAAGCUGCUUAAUCCCGCUUGAAAAGCAAACAAGGUCAGAGGCGGCGUCUUCCUGCUUCCCCCUCGCCCGCUGCCGGGGUCUCGCUCGAUAUAAAUAUGCAAUUAAAAAAUCGCCGCUAAUUGCUGCACCGGAGGGGGGUUCCCACCAUCAAAAAAAAACACAAGCUGUGGAAAGGGAUAUUAAAAGGGGAAAACAGGUAAAAAGAGAGUUUUUUACCCCAAUAAUUAAACUCUGGUGCAGGUUUAGGGAGAAAUUGCGAAGAUGUCUCAAUAUUCGCAUCUCUGGGGUGGGUUUUUUUUGGGGGAUGCUCUUUUUUGGGGGGGAAGGGGUUAAUCCCCGGCUCUCCUCUCUCGCUCCAGUGCUAACAACCCCUGGCAGCUCCUGGCUCGUUAGCCCGUUGGAAAAGCAAUUAAGAGAGGUUGGAAAAUGAGGGCGACAAGGCGGGAAGCCGGGAGGGGGCUCAGCCCCCAAAUCCUGGGGGGUGUAAGAGGUUUCAAGCCACACAUCUCAGCAGAGAUGUCGGAGCGGGAGUUCAGCUGGCUGAGCAAUGCUGCGCCAUCAGUAGGCUUCAGAGUGAACACCAUCAGUAGGUUUCAGAGUGAACAACAACAAAUAUAGUUUUAUUCCCCCCAGGGUUUUAUUGAACCUUUAAAAUCUGAAGCGUGCAGUUGGUCGCCUUUGCAGCAGAGGAGGAGGAGGACGAGGAGGAAGGUGUGGGGCUCAGGUGGGGGGCAGCCAGAGCUUCUGGGUGCUGACGAUGUCGCUGAGCUUGCCCUUGAUCUUCAGGAAAUGGCGCUUGAACUCCAGCCCGUCGCCCUGUGCAGGGGGAGGGGGCGAUGUGCCCUGUGCCUGCUGGCCUUGCACCGCUUUGCACGCACCUUACACGGGCUUGUAACCACCCCGCACCGCCACGCACCCCCUUGCACCACCUUCCAUUCUUGCAUCCACAUUGCACACACCUUGCAUGGUCUUGUAACCACCUUACACUCUUGCACCCACUUUGCACAGUCUUGUAACCACCUUGCACCACCUUGGACCACUUUGCAACCACCUUGCACGGCCUUGUAAUCACCUUGCACCCCCUUGAACUCUUGUACCUGCUUUGUACCACCUUGCACUCUUGCACCCCCUUGCACUGUCUUGCAAUUACUUUGCACAGUCUUUUAACCACCCUUGCACCACCUUGCAUCACUUUGUACCCCCUUACACUGUUUUGUAACCCCUGUGCACCCCUUUGCACACACCUUUCACCCCCCUGCAAACUCUGCACUACCUUGCACACACUUUGCAGUCCCUUGCACAUACUUUGCACACACUUUGCACCACCUUGUACAUACCUUGCACUGCUUUGUACCACUUUGCACAACCUUGCACCCCCUUGCACAGUUUCCACCGGCUUGUACCACCUUACAUCAACCUUGCAACGAACUUGCACACACUUUGCACUGCCAUGCACCCCCUUACAAACUCCUUGCACACACUUUGCACAAUCUUACACUACCCUGCACCCACUGUGCACUGCCUUGCAAACACCUUGCACCCCCUUGCACAUACUUUACACACACUUUGCACCGCUUCACACCACCUUGUACAUACCUUGCACUGCUUUGUACCACUUUGCACAACCUUGCACCCCCUUGUACCACCUUACAUCAACCUUGCAAACAACUUGCACAUACUUUGCACUGCCAUGCUCCCCCUUGCACACACUUUACACCCCCUUGCAACCACCUUGAACCGACCUUGUAACCACUGUGCACGCACUUUGCACCAACCUUGCAUCAUUUUGCACAGCCUUGCAGCCCCUUGCACGGUCUUGAAACCACUGCGCACCACUUGGCACCCACCUUGCACCCCCUUGCAGACACUUUGCACACUCUUGUAACCACUUUGCAACCACCUACACCCAGCUUGCACCACUUUGCACACCCUUGCACGCCCUCCGCUCACCUUGGAGAGGCGGAAAUCCAGCAGGACCCUGCUCUCCAUCUCCACCAGGUUCACCUUGAAGAUCAGCUUGUUGUUCCUCCGGUCCGUGGUCGACACAGUGACCUGCACGUCGCACCAAACCAGAGCAGCGCAGUGUGCAAAGGAUUGCAGCGUGCACAGGACCGCAACGGGCCCAGAAAGAACCGCAACGGGCCCAGAAAGAACCGCAACGGGCCCAGAAAGAACCGCAAAGGAUUGCAGCGUGCAAAGGAUUAGAA